rnacentral:rRNA from 1 species
GAUGAACGCUGGCGGCGUGCCUAAUACAUGCAAGUAGAACGCUGAAGGAGGAGCUUGCUCUUCUGGAUGAGUUGCGAACGGGUGAGUAACGCGUAGGUAACCUGCCUGGUAGCGGGGGAGAACUAUUGGAAACGAUAGCUAAUACCGCAUGACAACAGUUAUUGCAUGAUAACUGUUUAAAAGGGGCAACUGCUCCACUACCAGAUGGACCUGCGUUGUAUUAGCUAGUUGGUGAGGUAACGGCUCACCAAGGCGACGAUACAUAGCCGACCUGAGAGGGUGAUCGGCCACACUGGGACUGAGACACGGCCCAGACUCCUACGGGAGGCAGCAGUAGGGAAUCUUCGGCAAUGGACGGAAGUCUGACCGAGCAACGCCGCGUGAGUGAAGAAGGUUUUCGGAUCGUAAAGCUCUGUUGUAAGAGAAGAAAGAGUGUGAGAGUGGAAAGUUCACACUGUGACGGUAUCUUACCAGAAAGGGACGGCUAACUACGUG